rfam:Myotis lucifugus cont2.17338, whole genome shotgun sequence.
GGCAGAGUUCUUGGGUGAUGCACCCUGGAAUCUGGUUCCCUCCUCUCUGGUUCCAGGUGUAUCACCCGAGAACCACA